UAGGGAAUCUUCGGCAAUGGGGGGAACCCUGACCGAGCAACGCCGCGUGAGUGAAGAAGGUUUUCGGAUCGUAAAGCUCUGUUGUUAAGGAAGAACGAGUGUGAGAAUGGAAAGUUCAUGCUGUGACGGGACUUAACCAGAAAGGGACGGCUAACUACGUGCCAGCAGCCGCGGUAAUACGUAGGUCCCGAGCGUUGUCCGGAUUUAUUGGGCGUAAAGCGAGCGCAGGCGGUUAGAAAAGUCUGAAGUGAAAGGCAGUGGCUCAACCAUUGUAGGCUUUGGAAACUGUUUAACUUGAGUGCAGAAGGGGAGAGUGGAAUUCCAUGUGUAGCGGUGAAAUGCGUAGAUAUAUGGAGGAACACCGGUGGCGAAAGCGGCUCUCUGGUCUGUAACUGACGCUGAGGCUCGAAAGCGUGGGGAGCGAACAGG
rnacentral:rRNA from 1 species